rnacentral:rRNA from 1 species
UACGUAGGGUGCGAGCGUUAAUCGGAAUUACUGGGCGUAAAGGGAGCGUAGGCGGCGUGGUAAGUCAGAUGUGAAAUCCCGGGGCUCAACCCCGGAACUGCAUCCGAUACUGCCAUGCUAGAGGAUUGGAGAGGUAGCUGGAAUUCUUGGUGUAGCAGUGAAAUGCGUAGAGAUCAAGAGGAACACUCGUGGCGAAAGCGAACUACUGGACAAUUCCUGACGCUGAGGCUCGAAGGCUAGGGUAGCGAAAGGG